rnacentral:lncRNA from 1 species
UCAUUGUAAAAAAAGAAAUAGAAUUUUCUUUUAAUAUUUAAUUAUUUGUUAGAGAUGGUUGAAUGUGGCGGAACUUGAAUUCGACACUGUAGAGAAAAAAGCCAAGAGUAAAUAAAGUGAAGGUCUGAUAUAACUUGAGUUAUAUUAUUUUUUGACUUAUAAUAAAAUAAAUACCGAAAGUGAUGAAAUUUGAAUUCCACUCUUUCACUUACUCCAAAUCAAACUGCCCCUUAGUCGCUAAAUUAGUUGAUAAAUAAUAAUUUUU